rnacentral:lncRNA from 1 species
UUUGCCUCAGGAUCUAACAUUGACAUGUCAUAAAAUUUCCGGGAUGGGGGGCCUUGCUGCAGAAUUUAGGAUCAGCCUUUUCUUCUUGCUAUGGGUGUGGAUUUUAAUUUAGGUGCUCAUCAGGAUAUCAAUCCAAAAAGUAGAAAAAGAAGAGAGAGAAUUCCAGUAAAACCAACUCCUCAUAUAAAAUCCAAAUUAAAUCUGAAGGGGCAGGAAAAAAGUGCACAAAUCCAAUUAAGCAGUUGAUGCCAAAACCUGCGCUCCUGGCGAAAUGCAUCAUGCAGCACGUCAAGUUGCCAGCACCAUAGAGAAGAGGGAAGUGAAGGAUAGAUGGGCACAGGAGGAAGAAGCAGAGCUCAGACUUUCUUUGAUCUAUUCCAGGUGGAGCUUUUCUGACCCCAGGCAUAGCAGAUCAAAGAGAAGAGUCAGAAUGCAGAUCACUUGAGUAUUUCAUGAUCCUAAAAAAUAUU